AUUGAACGCUGGCGGCAGGCCUAACACAUGCAAGUCGAACGGUAACAGUAAGGAGCUUGCUUCUUAGCUGACGAGUGGCGGACGGGUGAGUAAUGCCUGGGGAUCUGGCAUAGGGUGGGGGAUAACCAUUGGAAGCGGUGGCUAAUACCGCAUGACAUAAGCUCAAGCUUAUCAAAGAGGGGGCUCUUCGGACCUCUUGCCCUUUGAUGAACCCAGGUGGGAUUAGCUAGUAGGUGAGGUAAUGGCUCACCUAGGCGACGAUCUCUAGCUGGUCGGAGAGGAGGAUCAGGCACACUGGGACUGCGAAACGGGCCAGGCUCCUACGGGAGGCAGCAGUGGGGAAUAUUGCACAAUGGGCGCAAGCCUGAUGCAGCCAUGCCGCGUGCGUGAAGAAGGCCUUCGGGUUGUAAAGCACUUUCAGUGAUGAGGAAGGUUGUGCGGCUAAUAUCCGCAUGAUUUGACGUUAUUCACAGAAGAAGCACCGGCUAACUCCGUGCCAGCAGCAGCCGCCG
rnacentral:rRNA from 1 species